rnacentral:rRNA from 1 species
GACGAACGCUGGCGGCGUGCUUAACACAUGCAAGUCGAGCGGUAAGGCCCUUUCGGGGGUACACGAGCGGCGAACGGGUGAGUAACACGUGGGUGACCUGCCCUCAGCUCUGGGAUAAGCCUGGGAAACCGGGUCUAAUACCGGAUAUGACUCCAUGACGCAUGUUGUGGGGUGGAAAGCCUUGUGCGGCUGAGGAUGGGCCCGCGGCCUAUCAGCUUGUUGGUGGGGUGANGGCCUACCAAGGCGACGGCGGGUAGCCGGCCUGAGAGGGCGACCGGCCACACUGGGACUGAGACACGGCCCAGACUCCUACGGGAGGCAGCAGUGGGGAAUCUUGCGCAAUGGGCGAAAGCCUGACGCAGCGACGCCGCGUGAGGGAUGACGGCCUCGG